CCAGCUCCAAUAGCAUAUAUUAAAGUUGUUGCAGUUAAAAAGCUCGUAGUUGGAUUUCUGGAAGGGUCUCAAUGUCCGCUGUUUGCGUGUGCAGCGAGGCCCUUCCAUCCUUCUGUUAACGUUUCUUGGUAUUCACUUACUGGUUUCGGGCUCAGAUAUUUUACCUUGAGAAAAUUAGAGUGUUUCAGGCAGGCUUGCGCCGGAAUACAUUAGCAUGGAAUAAUAGAAUAGGACUUUAGACUCCUUUGUUGGUUUGAGGGUCUGAAGUAAUGAUUAAUAGGGAUAGUUGGGGGCAUUAGUAUUUAAUUGUCAGAGGUGAAAUUCUCGGAUUUGUUAAAGACUAACUUAUGCGAAAGCAUUUGCCAAGGAUGUUUUCA
rnacentral:rRNA from 1 species